ensembl:lncRNA
GCUGUGCUGACCCUCAUGCAGAUAAUGGUACAGCUUCUGCCUCCAGACUUCCUCCAAGGAGCCCAAAGUGCUUUGCAAAUGUCUUCCUAUCGAUUUUCACGUCUCUGAUGCAGAAUUUUAAAGGCAGCAGACAGAAGAGCAUUACCUGGGCUUCCUGACUCUGGGAAGAGCAGGAGAAGAGCAUGUCAGGAGGCUGCCAGUGAAGGUCAGAGAGGCCGGAAGUGGAAACAUCAGUGAAAGUGCCAGGGGCAGGUGUCAGGCGAGAACCGGAAUUCUACUGCCUCCAUCAGAAAUAGAUUCCAGCAAAGUGAUGGGCAUCUAUUCAAAUGA